AAAUAGCCGCAGUAUUUUGACUGUGCGAAGGUAGCAUAAUCAUUUGUCCUUUAAUUGAAGGCUUGUAUGAAUGGUUUAAUGAGGGAACAACUUUCUUUAUAUUAAAGGUUGAAUUUAAUCUUUUGGUUAAAAAGCUAAAAUUUUUAAAUGGGACGAGAAGACCCUAUAGAAUUUUAUUUUUAUUUUUAUAAAAAAUUAUUUGUUUUAAUUAUUAAAUUUGUAGUAUAAAAUUUUAUUGGGGUGAUAUUGAAAUUUUUUUAACUCUCAUAAUUUAUAUUUUUAUAAAUUUAUAUAUUUAGGAUCCUAUUUUAUGGAUAUUUAGAUUAAAUUACCUUAGGGAUAACAGCGUAAUUUUUCUUGAGAGUUCUUAUCGAUGGAAAAGUUUGCGACCUCGAUGUUGGAUUAAAAUUAGAUUUAA
rnacentral:rRNA from 1 species